AGAAAGAUAAGCUAAAAAAAGCUAAUGGGUUCAUACCCCAUAUAUAGAGGUUUUACCCCUCUUCUCUCUA
rnacentral:tRNA from 1 species